CCGACUGCUUGCCGGCGGACGCGGUAGUUCGUAGGGGGCGGGGGUGUUCCGGAUUUAUUUGGCGGAAAGAGCUCGUAGGCGGUGCGAUAAGUCGGACGUGAAAUCUCCACGCGCAACGUGGAGGGGCCGUUCGAUACUGUCGUGACUCGAGUCCGGUAGGGGAGUGUGGAAUUCCCGGUGUAGCGGUGAAAUGCGCAGAGAUCGGGAGGAACACCCGUAGCGAAGGCGGCACUCUGGGCCGGUACUGACGCUGAGGAGCGAAAGCGUGGGGAGCAAACAGGAUUAGAUACCCCGGUAGUC
rnacentral:rRNA from 1 species